AGGCAACCCCCUUUCAUCCUAAUAAAAAGUAGAGAGGGAGGUGUUAAUCUGUUCAUACAUUGAAUCUUUUAACUCUUCAGACCUGCUGAGAUGAUGUUCUCAUCUAUGAAGUUGGUCUAGUAAGAUCAAGUACAUA